rnacentral:lncRNA from 1 species
CAUCAGACAGAGCAAAGUGUAAUUCUGGACUCUCACAUUUAAGAGUUUCUUAUCCUUGGGCAAGAUACUUAAACUUUGAGAAUUUUCAAACCUUCCAGUUUUUUAAUCUGUUUUUAAUAUUUAACAAGUUUAAGAGGAUGGUUAAAUAACAAUACGUGAAAUCAUCCCACGUACUGAAAGCGUCAAGUUCAUGCAUUGUAAAGACAGAAUACAAAUGGAAUGUGUGCGCAUGCGCGAGUACGCACGCCCUUCGCUGACGGCUACCGUUUCUGCAUUUAAAGGAGAGGGUUGCCGCAGGACAGGUACUGCAGUUAGAAAAGGCAGGGCCUGCGGCAUAACCUGAAAUGCAGUAGUGAGAACAGAGGGAACUAAACUGCUGUGUAGAAUCAAGUUUAAGGAAAGAAGGAAGGGCAUCUUUUUGAGCUCAAGAUGUUACUUUCAUGUAAAAAUGAUUUGAGGAUUCCUGGGCGUGGGCUGGAGAGCUAGGAGACGGUGAUCGCUGAAAGUGGGGACCUGAUGAGACAGAAACAAAGGAGGCUCUGAAUGAACCCCGGCCAUAGCAACUGGAAGUAAGAUGUGGCCUAGGGGAUGCAGACAGCUGAAAUUAAUGAUCUUCCUGUGAUGAAGUUCAACAUCUGGACUUUAGAAACAACCAUGUCUGUUAUGCAAUUUUAAUGAUUUCCCAUUGGAUAAUUUAAUUAAUUCCCUGCCACCGACCACCCUCUGGUGUUCAGUAAAGGUUUAUCAACCACUAAUUUCAUGCUGCUCUUACAUUAAUGUAACCUUAAGGAUUAAAGAGAAGGAGUUAUGACCAUGUUGGGACAGGGAGAGGGGUCCAGAGGACUGGAUCACAAGGAAGAUACAGCGCUGAGAUGGCCAGGCGCUGUCGAAGAGUCCAAGAGCAGCUGGGAUCAAAAAUUCAGUGUCACAGACCACAAACAUGAUGUGAAAGCAACCUUGGAAAUUUUCUAGCUAUAGUUAAAAGAAGAUCGAAUGUCUUACAUUUACAUCAGGGUAUGAUUUUACGAUACCAGGCUCUAUUAUCAACUCUAUCAAGGCUCUAAAUGGUAUUAUUGUGUUUAAAAAAAAGAAAAUUCCCUCUGGAGUUACAUUUUUACUUUUAGAUUUUUGUUUGAUCUUUACCUGAAUCAAUAUGGGAAUGAUGCCAAAACUCAUACUCUCAAGUUCAUGUGACCGAUCUGCAAUAAGCCG